UCUCCGUUGGUGAACCAGCGGAGGGAUCAUUACAGGACUCGCAAGACUCCUACACCCCUGUGAACUUAACUAUAAGCACGUUGCUUCGGCGGGUGUCUCGGAGGGGGUUCUCCCUCCCCGAGACGCUAAACCCGCCGGCAGCCUACUAUACUCUGUCUCUUUGCGUUGGCAUCUCGAGUACAAUCAAACAAGUUAAAACUUUCAACAACGGAUCUCUUGGUUCUG
rnacentral:misc_RNA from 1 species